ensembl:snoRNA
CUGCAUCCUUAAUAAACCCCCCAGUUGCAAUCUGUGGCCUCUGGGACAAGAAAGGAUGCGAGAUCAAUCUUAGAACCAUCCAAAGCUGAGAGUUGGUGUCAGUAGCUCUUGGUUAUUUCACCUCUAAGACAGAA